UGGAUGGGUAGGGGAGCGUCGUGUGCCGGGUGAAGCAGCCGCGGAAGCGAGUUGUGGACGGUUCACGAGUGAGAAUGCAGGCAUGAGUAGCGAUACACACGUGAGAAACGUGUGCGCCGAUUGACUAAGGGUUCCUGGGUCAAGCUGAUCUGCCCAGGGUAAGUCGGGACCUAAGGCGAGGCCGACAGGCGUAGUCGAUGGACAACCGGUUGAUAUUCCGGUACCCGCUUUGAAACGCCCAGUACUGAAUCAGGCGAUGCUAAGUCCGUGAAGCCGGCCUGAUCUCUUCGGAGUUGAGGGUAGUGGUGGAGCCGAUGAACCAGACUUGUAGUAGGUAAGCGAUGGGGUGACGCAGGAAGGUAGUCCAGCCCGGGCGGUGGUUGUCCCGGGGUAAGGGUGUAGGCCGUGUGGUAGGUAAAUCCGUCACACGUUAAGGCUGAGACCUGAUGCCGAGCCGAUUGUGGUGAAGUGGAUGAUCCUAUGCUGUCGAGAAAAGCCUCUAGCGAGUUUCAUGGCGGCCCGUACCCUAAACCGACUCAGGUAGUCAGGUAGAGAAUACCGAGGCGUUCGGGUGAACUAUGGUUAAGGAACUCGGCAAAAUGCCCCCGUAACUUCGGGAGAAGGGGGGCCAUCACUGGUGAUUGGAUUUACUCCAUGAGCUGGGGGUGGCCGCAGAGACCAGCGAGAAGCGACUGUUUACUAAAAACACAGGUCCGUGCGAAGCCGUAAGGCGAUGUAUACGGACUGACGCCUGCCCGGUGCUGGAACGUUAAGGGGACCGGUUAGUGCACUUUCGGGUGUGCGAAGCUGAGAACUUAAGCGCCAGUAAACGGCGGUGGUAACUAUAACCAUCCUAAGGUAGCGAAAUUCCUUGUCGGGUAAGUUCCGACCUGCACGAAUGGCGUAACGACUUCUCGACUGUCUCAACCAUAGGCCCGGUGAAAUUGCACUACGAGUAAAGAUGCUCGUUUCGCGCAGCAGGACGGAAAGACCCCGGGACCUUUACUAUAGUUUGAUAUUGGUGUUCGGUUCGGCUUGUGUAGGAUAGGUGGGAGACUUUGAAGCGGCCACGCCAGUGGUUGUGGAGUCGCCGUUGAAAUACCACUCUGGUCGUGCUGGAUGUCUAACCUGGGUCCGUGAUCCGGAUCAGGGACAGUGUCUGAUGGGUAGUUUAACUGGGGCGGUUGCCUCCUAAAGAGUAACGGAGGCGCCCAAAGGUUCCCUCAGCCUGGUUGGCAAUCAGGUGUUGAGUGUAAGUGCACAAGGGAGCUUGACUGUGAGACCGACGGGUCGAGCAGGGACGAAAGUCGGGACUAGUGAUCCGGCAGUGGCUUGUGGAAGCGCUGUCGCUCAACGGAUAAAAGGUACCCCGGGGAUAACAGGCUGAUCUUCCCCAAGAGUCCAUAUCGACGGGAUGGUUUGGCACCUCGAUGUCGGCUCGUCGCAUCCUGGGGCUGGAGUCGGUCCCAAGGGUUGGGCUGUUCGCCCAUUAAAGCGGUACGCGAGCUGGGUUUAGAACGUCGUGAGACAGUUCGGUCCCUAUCCGCUGUGCGCGUAGGAAUAUUGAGAAGGGCUGUCCCUAGUACGAGAGGACCGGGACGGACGAACCUCUGGUGUGCCAGUUGUUCUGCCAAGGGCAUGGCUGGUUGGCUACGUUCGGAAAGGAUAACCGCUGAAAGCAUCUAAGCGGGAAGCCUGCUUCGAGAUGAGUGUUCCCACCACCUUGAGUGGUUAAGGCUCCCAGUAGACGACUGGGUUGAUAGGCCAGAUGUGGAAGCCCGGUAACGGGUGGAGCUGACUGGUACUAAUAGGCCGAGGGCUUGUCCUC
rnacentral:rRNA from 1 species